UCGAACAGACCUAAAUUUUUUAGCCCCUACACCAAAAUUUUAUUUUAAUCCAACAUCGAGGUCGCAAUCUCUCUUAUCGAUUUGAACUCUCCAAAAAAAUUACGCUGUUAUCCCUAAGGUAAUUUACUCUUAUAAUCUCAAACUAAGGAUCACAUUCUCAUAAAUAAAUGUUUAAAUAUAAAAAAAGUUUAUUAAAUUUUUUAAUCACCCCAACCAAAUUAAUCAUUAUAUAAAAAAUAAUUAAUUCUAAAAUUCCUUAUCUAAAUUUUAAUAAAACUCUAUAGGGUCUUCUCGUCUUUUAUUAAUAUUUAAGCUUUCUUACUUAAAAAUAAAGUUCUAAUAAAUUUAAAAAGAGACAGUUACUUUCCCAUCAAACCUUUCAUACCAGCUUUCAAUUAAAAAACUAAUGAUUAUGCUACCUUUGCACGGUCAAAUUACCGCGGCCAUUUAAUUACUCAUUGGGCAGGUCAGACCUUAAA
rnacentral:rRNA from 1 species